ACUGGGUGGAAGCCUGGAAGAACAUAACCUCGAGCCGCUUCCAACAGCUUUUUAUGCCGCCUUGGUCCUUUGAGGAACUAGAAAAUCUUUUCUACCAGUACGAGUAUCUGGAGAAGAACAGGUUCUCAGACCCUCGAACGGAGUUUCGUGUGAGAAAUCUACUAUUUGGUCCUAUACCCAGGUGGUACUUCUUCUGCACCCUGGAGAUCGGAUAUCAGGAGAUAUUAAAGAAUGUACAUAAGAUGGUCAGGGAAGGGGUGCUUCAGGUGCAGGACUUCAGAGGCGCUAAUGACAAGGAAGAAUAUUCAUAUACGGUGUUCACAAUGUGGCCAAGUGCGAAUUUUUCGUAUAUUCAGUCAAUCAGGCCUGUCUCCCAGUGGAUUUCACAAAGGAUUGCUCAGGUGGCCGCUUACACGGAGGGGUUUGAGACCUUCGUCUUGGCUGCUGAGGGUGACCCGGCAUUGAAAGUCGCUGCUGGGAAUUUGUUUGAACGUUAUGCCCAUGAACGGCUUGCACAGGGGGGAACGUUCAAAGCCGUGGAAGAUGGAUCUGAUGUGGUGUUGCAAACUCGUCGGAUCAAGUAUUUUUCUGGUUUGGCAGUGUCGGCGGAUCCCAAGUGGAGGAAGGACACAUGUUACUAUUGGGUGCCUAGGAACAAGAACUUCCCCAUCGACAGUAUAACACCGAACCAUAUGAUCCAAGUGUCCUUGGCGAAGUCGAGGAAGCCCAUGGAUCGGGCUGUCUUCUCCAGACUGCGGUUGGAUUUAAACCAGGUAGGUGCAAUAUCUUUAUUAUGUUUGGCACUGAACUCCUAACCGAUGCAGGACGCUUAUAUGGUGCUGGUGAAACCUGAGGGUGAUAGAAGAAGUGCCCCGGUUAUUAAAGUUCAAAGUUCAAACGAGCAGAAGGUGCUGUCUGAUGAAGACAAGCAGUUGGUCUUAGUUGGUGAUUUGAGGUAUUGCCAGAUCCAGGCAUUGUGCAAGAAGUAUGGAAUUCAUGCAAACCAGCACAAGGAGGUGAUGCUUAAGGAACUCGAGGAACUUGUGGCUCUUGCCAAUGUCCAGGAUGGUGGUGGCCUGCAAGAGGAGCAACUGAGGCCGAUUGUGAAGACUAUUGCAUUGCGGGGUGGCUUCUCAGGUUGGCGCUAUCUGACUCUCGAAGAGCUUUUCACCUCUGUGAAGAACGACAUCCAUUAUGGCAAUUAUGAACCUUUUUUUGCGCUGGAAGAUGAUGCUGUUGAAGACAACGGACAUGCAGCAAUGGAUAAUUGGGACAUAAAGCUUGGCUUCCAUGGGGGUAAGAUAAAAAAUGUGUUUCAGUUAUAAUCACUGAUCAACGUCGAAUAAUCGCAGAUGGAACUGCAUCCGGGUUUGAAUCUGAGAUCGUGUACACUGCUCUAAUGGAGGAGACCCAGGUGACCUUGAAGUUGGCGCAUCUGGAUGGUACUCUAGCUGGAAAGCAGGUGAGGGUGAAGGUAGAAGGUCACGAGGGUAGACCAUUGAUCUGGAAGUCAUAUCAGCCAUGUGAAGGAUGUGAGGUCCUCCUUGUAUGAGUGAGAGAUCUUUUAGCGUACCCAUAUUUCAUAUACAGAUAUGUCUUAUCAGAUCACUUUCCUCUAAUAGUUUCUUGUCUGUGAGAAAUAAUGUUUCCUUUCUUCAAUCAGCUCAGUGGAGUACCCAUCUCGUGGCAUCUCCAAAUGCUUCAAGGAUGAAACUUGUUGAGGCAAGGAUGAAGGCAGGGAAUGGGGUGGGUGGAGGGGGUAUGGCCGUAGUCGUGGCCUGGUUCUGAGUACCCAUCGUGGCACAUUUGGGUCUUGAGUUGCUCGGCUUGAAACUGUUUGAACAUGUACAAGUACAGAGUGGGGUUCAGAAGCGGAAGCAGAGUCUAGGUCGAGAGUCAAACAGACACCCCGGUCAACUAAUUCAAGAUUUGGAAUACAUAAAUGGUUGUUUCUAUAAAAAGCAAGAAGGUUCCUUUAGAACUGGCGGACACAGGAUACAAAAGUGGAGAACUUAUUAUUGAAAAAGAAUGCACAAAAAGUGUAAGUCCAGGUAUGACACACACCAAUUCAAGGUACUUUGCCACUAAUAGCAUGUUGAAACCAUGCAACGUGUCUAACAAGUCACCCAUUCCCCUUGCUAAUAGCAAACUGAUAGGCUCUGGAAGUUUAGUUGGCAAUGACGCCGUGAAAGCUAAACUCUUUUAACCAUUAAAUUAUGCAUUAGGUAAGAGAUGAAGGGUUUAGGCAUUUUCAAGAUCUAAAGCAAUAAAACAAUAUCUUCUAGAAAGUUUAAAAUGCUAGACCCAAGAACUGCAUUGAGUAGAUAAGGUAUGAAUGAUGCCUAAAGUCUUUUGUCUAACUACAAAUAUAGUUUAUUACAUACAUAUUGGAGAUUUAAAUUUUUUAUGCUUAUAUCUAAAUUAUUAAGUCAUGCUUUGCUAAUAUAUAAUUUUUUUUUGUAAUUCUACUUUUCAUUUUAUUUCAUGGUUGAAAUAUAUUAGUUUUCUUGAAAUAUUAAUAUUCUAAGUUUAUUUAUAUCCCAAGUAAAAACAUACUUUACAUGUAACUAUAAGAAGCAAUUUGUGCUUGCAAGUUUUUGGGGAACACCUUGCAAGAGGAAGUAUACCUAGAAUGGGUAGCCUAGCAAUAAAAUUUUUUGUUUUAUAUAGCAAUAUACUCUUAAAUAUUUUUUGUCAAAAUUUAAUAUUAUAAAUUUAUUUUAAUAGUAUUUAAAAAUAUAAUAAGAAAAUAUUCUAUACAGAUGGCCUAUCUAGAUAUCACUAAAACAUAUCAAAGCUAACACCAAGUGAUGGUAUAUCAAGAAUAUUACCACUCAAUUGACUAAAUUUGAGUUUACUAUAGUUUUAUGAGUGUGUAGGCAUGAUUAAAGCUUUAAUUGUUAAUACAAAAAAAUUAAAAAUCUUUAACAAUAACAUUAUAUAUAUAUAUAUAUAUAAUAUUUUUAUAUGUAGCCAUAGUUAUUUACAAUUUAAAUCCUUAAAAGAAUAAUUUACUCCAUGUAGCAUACAUCAAUGCUUGAUUUUCUUAAUAGUAGUGUUAUUCUUAUUUAUUAAUUCAAUUGAUCAAAUGGAUAUAUAUAUAUAUAUAUAUAUAUAUAUAUAUAUAUAUAUAUAUAUAUAUUAAACACAAUACUAAUUUUAUUAAAUAUCACUAGAAUCAUACUAGAAAGUUUUUACGAAAUUAAUAAGUCAUAAACAUGUUUAUAAAUUAUGACAGUUAGAUGGUAGAAUAUCCUAGAAUACACAAGCAUAUUUUAGGUAUAUUCACUACCACCCACAAAAAAUCAAGAUAAUGUAUGCAGUAUUUGAUUAAGCAGUAAUAUUUUAAAUUCUUUUUUCUAGCUACUAUUAGUUAAUACUAUAGAAUAUAAGUUUUGAAUUUACAUUUUAUUUAUCAUAUAUAUUUAUAAAACAUUUUCUUAGUAAUUAUUUUUUAAAUAACUAAAUUAUUAUUAAUUAUUUUUAGUCAAUGUUCUAUUUCUUUGUUUGAUAGAAUAUUAAUAUAAUUUUAUUCUAGUAAAAACAUAAUUUACAGGAAAAAGUAAAAACUUUAAUUCUAAUAUUGUAUUUUCGAAAUAUAUUCAUAUUUCCAAAUAAUAAUUUUAUCUAAUAUUUUUUAAUAAAUAUUUACAUAUUUAUUCUUACUUAUAUAUUCAUAUUAUCAAGUUCACAAGAGCAAAAAUAUUCAUAUUAAAUAACUAAUUUUUAUAUUCACCAGCCUGAAAGGUUAGGGCUGUCUGAUUGCAAGCCCCAAGCUAUGCCAACUUUCCAUUGGCCAAUCAAACAUCCACAAAAGUUUUGCUGAAACCAUACAAACUGGGCUUAUCAUUGGCUUGCAUGCGAUAAUAUAGAUAUUUGACACGUGUCCAUUUGCAUUUGCGGAUGCCAAGCAAGAAGGUGAAUCAAUGGUGGAGGUUAGCCACAGAUGACUGUGGCAUCUGUGGAGUGGCGGAGCUGGAGCAAGCUUUCAAUGCAGCCAGAACCAUCAGAGAGUUGCUUCAGUCCCUGUUCUUCGAAAAAGCUUCAAGGCAAGUUCUUCCUUGUGGUUCUCCUGAGUAUCCCAUCAGCAAGGGAGUCCACGAGACAGCAUUGUAAUAUCUCAUCCUGAUAAGAGCUUUGCAAGAUGCUUCCACACUUGCAAUACGUAUCAUUAACCAAGACGUUCCUCAAAGCCAUAACUUGCAAACCCAAGCCAAAACUUUGAUGACCUUCCCAUCGAGCUCCUUGCUUUCUUCUCGAGCCACCAAUCCCAAGCAAGCCUUGAAAGCAGCGACAGACAGCCGGUAAGACAGGAGAAUUUACGUGUUUAGGGUGCACUCGCGAAUGACAGGCGCUCACUUCCUCCAUUGCAGAUCUACUCAUUUGUGUUCACAGGUGUUUGCACAACCACGGCCGCUUACAGAGCAGCAGUCGCUCUUGCACAAGCAUUGGGUAUGUAUCUCCCGCCUUUGUGAUCUGGACAUAUGAAAGGCACAGAGUUUGUAAAAUACCUCUUAAUUCCAACAAUAAGCUCAACAGCAAGAGCAAAGCAACUCUCUUCAUUUUACGUACUGUUUUCAAGGCCCUUGCAGGGUUGGAAGUCAUGAAUGGCAAGGUAAAUCUAUGCCACCUUUCUUUCCUCUUGCUCAAGAGUCAAACAGAUCAAGAGGGCAACACAAUGUCCUGUUGGAAGCAAAGGCUAGUCUGAUUACUAUAAUUUUUUUGUCACUUUCCAUUUCUUUCUGCAUUUCUAGGAGGCUUUCAAGGCCGAUAGAGUUAGAGGUCACAGAGGCGGGCUCCUCAGCAAGAGAACAAACAAGCACUACAACCUCCACACACAAAUUCGUGCAAAAAAACCAAAACAAGAUGGCAAGCUAGUAGUAGCAUGUCAAUGUGAUGCCUGGAUAAUUUCAAGGACAAAGGAUCACAUGUCCUUGAGGAGCUGUCUUGCCUUUAGCAUUGAAUUCACACUUUCAACAAUCAAAAUUGUCUGUGGAAUUUCAUUUAAUUACCAAUUUAUGCUUACCAUCAUUUAUGGGCUGCGGUGUUGUGGGGUCCUUGGAGGCGGGUGAGGCAAAUUGUGUAGUGGUGGCCACCAAGAGAAUGCCUUUGCUUCUGGAAAUGAUCAACACUUUGGCAUUUCUCCAGCGCUCAAUGACUAUGAAGCUAUUUUAGGUGCAAUUUUCCUAUUUUUGUAAUUUGUCAACUUGGCCGUUUGAUUCGUGCUAGAAAUUCCUUAGAAAGAUUGAAGUGUGGGAAUGAGAGCUCUUGGAAGUGAACAACCCUCAAUAAUGACAACAAAGACUGUUGGUAGUGGAAGGUUUUGCCAACACCCGUCAAAUUCUGCUACGUAUAUAUGUGUUUUGUGAGAUUAUAAGGAUUGAAAGCAAGGAUCGAAAGCAUACACAGUUUGUAGGGCUUGCUUCCACUGACACUUACCGACACGCCACGGACUGCACCGACACUUACAGUUUGUAGGGCUUGACUUCACCAAAGUGGGCUUUAAAUUGAUUGUUAGCAUUGCGCUUCACAUGAAAGAGCCACUUUGUACUCACAAUUUUCCGAUCUGCUGGUGGAAACCGAAAUCCGCGCAUUAAAGAGUUGGACUCAGAGUCCAUUCCAAGUGGACCUGAUAAUUAUUCAGGUCUAAUUCUGCUCGUUUUUAUUUUGCUAAUGCUGAAACUAUUCCUGAGCCACAGAUGAAGCUGCUGACUUUCCUAGCUGCCUGUGCACGAGCGGAAAAAGUGGACGACCAGAAUGUCCAAUAAUAGUGCGUCCAGAAGUAUCACUUUGAGCUCCCCACUGAUCCUUGCAACAUGGCAGCUGGUUGAUGUCUGGCCGGUAGCAGAUGUUCCAGCACUCCCACCACCACCACUUAUAAAUCCACCUCCGCCACCCCACCUAUUCCACCCCAGGAUGACGGCGAUUGGAGGAAAUAUGUCUUCAAGCACAAGGCUUCAUGCCUCUCCAUAAGGACAUGCCUUCAUGUCCUCUCCAUCUGGGACAGAUGAGUAAGUCGCAUGGUAUCAGGUACACCGUGCUUGUGAUCUCUGGUUAUCAAUUGUCAGAGACUGUUGCAUGUUCGCAGUCAUGGCAAACAGCACCAGUGGCACUGUUGUGGAGCAGCAUCUAAAAGAGAAUUCCACACAUGUGAAUUUCAUGUUUAUGAGAGAUAAUUGUGAUGUUAAUGUUACAGGCACUGAGCAUUGCCAGAUUGGAAAAUUCAAAACAAGCAAGCCUUGUCCACAAUUGGGAUUAGUCUUGGUCAACAAUAUAUUCAUCUUCUUCAUUGUACCAAGAGUUCUAGUGAAGCCAAGAAUCAUCGCUUUCGCAAAGCAUGCAAACAAGCACUAUUUUGUCACUUUUCUUGCAUGUUUGUCUCAUGAAGCACAAAGAGCAAAGUUUUCCAGCAGUUUAAGGAUUUUUGUGCUAAAGUUGAGAAGCCAACAGGGAGCUGGUCUACACACGUUGAAAAAGGAUAGCAAUGAUGUUUGCCUUCAUUGGAAGUCUUGGCACAACUAAGAAGAUGAAUAUAUUAGUCACCAAGAUUAAUCCCGAUUGUGUACAAGGCUCACUUGUUUUGAAUUUUCUAAUCAAGAAGUUCAGCUGAUCAAGCAGCAGGUUCUGGCUCAGUGCCUGCAAUAAUAGCAUCACAAUUGCCUCACAUAAACAUGACCUUCAACAGUGCUGCCCUAUAGACAGGGAUAAGACACUGCUCCACAAUGGCGCCACUGCUGCUGCUUGCAAUGUGACUGCAAACACGCAACAAUCACCAGCAAUUGAUAUGGUGCCGGAGAUUACAGGAAGCACAGUGUACCAUUCACAGCUCUGAUACCAUGAUGAUACUGCUAAAGAGCAUCUUGAUGACCCUAGGUACACACUAACUGCCUAGGAACUGAACCUGCCUACAUGGCAUAGAGCCAGUGACCCAUACACUUGUAGAAGAGCUUCCGAACUGUGUUAGAUUGGACAGCAGCCUCUUUUUUGAGAGCGAGGAUGCAUUUGUCGUGUCCAUGGUGGAGAAACUUGAUGGGGAUCAGGGAACUCAGAAAAAUUUUGAUCAAUCAAUUUCUAACAGUAUAUAUAUCCGAGAGUAGCAUAUAGGAUUCCGAGCGAGGAAAGAGAGCUGGGUACAAUGCAGUGCUACUGGAUAGAUUUGCAAGCCAUGUUGCUUCUGGGGUUUAAACUUUGGAAGCACUCAGCAAAGCUGUCCAGCAUGAGGCCGUGUUCUUCGUAUCCAUCAGAAAUGAAGAUCUCACCACCUCAAUGUCGCUGCCUAGAAAGAAAUCUUCCACCUCUUGUGUCUAUCCAUGUAAUAUUAUAAUGUAUGUUUAGAUUGCUUAUAUAGCAAUCUAUAGUGAUUGGGUGAUUGGGUAGCUGCCCCGAGCGAGACAAGAGAUCGAGCAUACACAUGUAAUUUUCUUUCACGUGCUUGAUCGACGCAAAGUGGUAACAUCCAUCACGGAUAAUCCCUCCGUGGCUAUAGCAAAAUCACAAAAGCAGGUAAAACUCCAUCCAGUGACAUCUCGAGGUAAAGCUCCAAAGUCAGUUACAAGCAAUAUAUCCCAAGCAUGGUCGCUGGAAUUGGCGACCUCGAUCAGGGCAUCCUUGUGUGUGAUUGCGGGCGUGGAGCUGGAAUCCACAGUGGGGGCUGCGCUGGUCAAUACGUACUGCAAGUGUGGCCAGUUAGUUCCAACCAGGGCCAUCUUGGACAAAAUGUACGAAAGGGAUUCUCUCCUUGACAGCAUAUACCCAGUCUGCAUGCAGUGCUACGAUGGAUCUGAGACCGAUCAUGGCGCCUUCCACACGUGCACGAGCAUCUCAGCCAUUGCCCUCACUGACGAGCUUCUUUGUCAGUACCUAAAACAAACGAUCUCUCUCCAAACCUUUCUUGUUCUUGAAACUCUGUAGAAUGUUGCAUGUACAAGAUCCAUGUCAAGCAGAACGUCGACGCGAAAAAACAGACCUGGAAACAGCUCCGUAAAGGGCUGGCCAUUUAGAGGGACGUCUGUCCACCAUCUCAUUGCUCUUGCUGAACGAAAUCUGUGCACCACAGGUCGCCCAUCGACCAGAGCAUGUGUUCGGUCCAAAAGUUGCGCUUUCAGGCCGAAAGAACUGCAGCAGUCACGCAGUGCCCCGAGCUGCUGCUUGUCCAUAGCGAGCGGAUUGGCAAGGUGCUAGGAUGCGCUCUACAAACAUGAUCGUUGUUUGAUUUGGUCUCGAUCCGUCCUCAAGCAUCGAUCGAUAGGUGGAUAUCGCCUCGCGAAAGUGGCGAUUCGGGUCAUAGGCAGCGAUCAUCGCAUUCCAGGCAGCAGUGUCUCAUCGACCGGGGAUUCUGUGGAAGAGAUCCUUGGCAUGGUCGACGAAGCCGUGCUGGGAAUAGGCGGCGAGCAUCGCCGUCCAGGCCACCGCAUCCUUGCCCGGCAUUGCAUCGAAGAUCGCUCGCGCCUCUGCCAGAUAACCCAGCUGGGCGAAUGCCGUGAAUAGGAGCGUCCAGGAGAAGAUGUUCUUGUCGCGGAUGCUAUCAAACGCGGCCCGCACGCGAUCGAGAUCGCCGAGCCUGCCAUACAUCUGGACGAUGAUAUUUCCCAGAAACGUGCUGCGAUCCACUCCAAACCCGCUGCUGCCGAUCUGCUGGUGCAGUAGCGUUGCCUCAGCGAUGGAUCCACAUCGUCACAGCUGGCUCGCAAAGAGGCAGUUCCCGGGUAGGGUGAGCACGUUCCCGCCCAAAACGGGCGAGCCGGGUGUUAGCCCGGCAAGUGUGUUCUGGAGGGAACCAGCAAGGCCGUGCCCGCCUUAAUGGGCUGUGGCGAGACUGUUAACGGACACGUGGAGACUGUUAACGGACACGUGGAAUAAUGUUAUUGGAGGAUGAGAGGGUUCUUCAGAAUUGGCAGCUGGUAGCCUGGUUCUCUAGAACCUGGCAGCUGGCAGCUAGGUUCUGGAGAACCUGGCAAUUGUCAGCCAUGUUCUUGCAGAGAACUUGACUCAAUGCGACAGCUGCCAACGGUUGGAUCAAGUUAACGGGCGAGCCACAACCCGCUAAGAGGUUGACACGCUCUGGCUGCUGGAUUGUGGCAUCGCUCAUGGAAAAUCAAAGGCGGGAAGUCGAGUUUGCUAUAGGCAGGUGAAAGCUAUGUGUAGCGCCUAGUCUACUUUCACAGGGGAGAAAUUAAGAACAGCAUUACUUGGACUACCCUUCCCACUAUUGUUAGGAUCCUAUCCCUUACACCCUAAGCCAACUGGCUAAAGGGGUGAUCACUUGAUUGCAAGGCCCUUUCUUUAUCCUAUUAUCCUGACCUGGUGCUUAACAAUCCUCCCCCUCGUCAGGGAAUGAUCGUCCGCGAUCAUACUUAGGCCACCAUCCGGUCACCAUGGUCCUUCUCUUAGGGUCUACCAAACCUUGGUUCUCCCUCUAGAUCCACCAUGUUGAAUAUUCCUUCAAAAUAUUUUUGCCCCACUCGUCAGCCAUGAGAAUCAAACUGGGCUCCGAUACCAAUGUUAGGAUCCUAUCCCUUACACCUUAAGCUAAAUGUUAUGAUCCGGUGCAAAAAGACAGAGAUCUAGUCGCUUUAGACUAUGCUACACCACCUCUUGAGGUUCCUCACCACCCAACUACCCCCGAGCUACCUCAAAAGCUCCACUGCGCCGCCGCUCCACUGUGAGCCCUAGGGUAGGUUAGUCCCUUACCCUAACAUGCCUUAAUAUACCCUUGAGCCUCCUUUUGACCAACGUUGACCAUGUAGUCAAAGCUGGCAUUUAACAAUUAUGCAUACACUAGACAACCAUAGAAACUAAUGGCAAAUGGCUAUUUUUUUGGUUUAGAUUGUUAUUUACCACCCGGUUGUUGUGAUUUGCCUGAUUCAAGUGCUACCACCCUUAAACUUGCCACGUGCCCCGGUGCAACGGCAGCCGUUGGAUGUUACCGUUUUUUUCUUUUUCACAUCUUAUUUUCCGGCUUUGAGCAGUUUUUUUCUCUUUGCAGACGCAACCAGGUAUAACUACGAGCUUCCGAUGUCAUUAGAAGCGGGUGACAUGUUCCACUUCUGCCAAGUGGUCUUCCGUAACGAAUUCUAUUAUGUUCGGCAGGUGUGGAAACAAUUUUACACAGAGAUGAGCAAGGUUACCCAAGGGAUGGUUAAAGUGGUACACGUCUCCGGCAACCCCGGCAUAGGCAAGUCCCAUUUUCUGGUUUACGUGCUCGUUAAUCUACUGAAGGAAGGGAAGACCGUCCAGGUGGAGCUCGCUAAGUACAAAACUGUGGAUUAUUAUGCUUUCUAUCCGGACGGGACAUACCAGAUUCUUAACGGGUUUAACAGGUCGCUGCAAGGGGAGAUCCUACUGACUGAUCAGAGGUUUGUUGGUCACUAUGGGCGAAUUACGUAUAUCUUUGCAUCUCCCAAUCCAAAAAACUGGGUGGAAGCCUGGAAAUACAUAACCUCGAGCCGCUUCCACCUGCUUUUCAUGCCGCCUUGGUCCUUUGAGGAACUAGAAAAUCUUUUCUACCGGUACGAGUAUCUGGAGGAGAAAAGAUUCUCAGACCCUCGAACGGAGUUUCGUGUGAGAAAUCUACUAUUUGGUCCUAUACCCAGGUGGUACUUCUUGGGCACCCUGGAGACCGGAUAUCAGAAGAUAUUAAAGAAUAUACAGGGGAUUGUUGGGAAAGGGGUGCUUCAGGUGCAGGACUUGACAGGCGCUAGUGACAAGGGA
rnacentral:lncRNA from 1 species